rnacentral:rRNA from 1 species
AUUGAACGCUGGCGGCAGGCCUAACACAUGCAAGUCGAGCGAGCGGCGGACGGGUGAGUAAUGUAUGGGGACUGCCCGAUAGAGGGGGAUAACUACUGGAAACGGUGGCUAAUACCGCAUACUAUCGGAUAACCCAUAUGGGAUUAGCUAGUAGGUGGGGUAAAGGCUCACCUAGGCGACGAUCGCUAGCUGGUCUGAGAGGAUGAUCAGCGACACUGAGACUGAGAAACGGCCCAGAGUCCUACGGGGGGAGCAGUGGGGAAUAUUGGCGAAAGGGCGCAAGCCUGAUGCAGCGACGCCGCGUGGGGGAUGAAGGCUUUCGGGUUGUAAACCUCGUGCGCUAGCGAACGGGUAGGUGGAGAAGAAGCGCCGGCUAACUACGUGCCAGCAGCCGCGGUAAUUC